CGGACGGGUGAGUAAUGUCUGGGAAACUGCCCGAUGGAGGGGGAUAACUACUGGAACGGUAGCUAAUACCGCAUAACGUCGCAAGACCAAGAGGGGGACCUUCGGGCCUCUUGCCAUCGGAUGUGCCCAGAUGGGAUUAGCUAGUAGGUGGGGUAACGGCUCACCUAGGCGACGAUCCCUAGCUGGUCUGAGAGGAUGACCAGCCACACUGGAACUGAGACACGGUCCAG
rnacentral:rRNA from 1 species